CGAAACGACUUCCAAUUAUCAAUGCAGCCCACGCCGUUUUGCGGACACCACCUCGACAGCCAGCGGUUGAAUGACAAGAUACGGCGACACAUCUCAUCAGUUGUCUGAUCGGGCAGAAGACCAGAGAAAACUACUGAGUCUGACAUGGUUUUGGCGAAUUUACACACUGUUCCAAAAACUCAGAACCAGGUCCUCGAGUUAACUUCAUAUCCUCCUCUAGAAAUGAGUGAAAGCCACAUCUCUUCUGAUUUUCACUUAUAGACCAUUUAAGGAGAGAAAAUCCCGCUAACCAACUCUAGAAACUCCACAUGUGUGUCACUGAUUUCAUGCCAGCGGGAAAAUAGUUUUAGAUUCUUGUCGGUGUUUCAUCUCCUGAAGGGCGGGAAGGGUCCCAAACGGCAGUAACACCACUGAGACUCCUAAAAUAUGCGUCCAUAUUUAAAGACGCCUUUUUAUAAACGGGAAAAUCUUAUCAGCAAACACUAACGCAGUUUAAUGGAUGUAAUUCAAAGUCUUUCUCACGCCUCUCCACACCAUUUAAACUUCUAAAUAAUCGUUUUAGAGGCAGACUCAUGUAUGAGAACUGUUUUUUUUUUUUUUAAGUGAAGUGGGGCUUCUUAAGAAGGAGCUGUAAAAUACUCCAGAACUAAUCUUCUGUAGUAAACACACAAACAAGCGCUGAACUGCUCUCUGCUCCAUUUGCAAACAUAUCUGGCUCCCAUAUGUUCGCUCUGCUGCUGUUCUCAUGGAAAACUGCUCCCUCAAGUAUUUCACCCGGUCACGUUCCCUGUGCCAGCUCUACAGACGGCAAACAGUUACAGGAAAAAGUUUUAUUUCUACUUUUUUAGUUUGAAAAGGACAAAAACGUGUUAAAAAUAUGAGCGCAAGUGGAGAAAACAUCCAAAUGUAGACGGAGAAGAGGCGUUUUAGAGUUGGAUUUUACAUGAUUUACACAAAUCUUAACAUCAUUAGACUUGUUCUGCCUUCUCACACUCUCUCACACACUCUCACACACGUGCACGGACCAUUACAAAUCGAGCUCAGGGGUUUUCUCUGCAGCGUCAGUCCCUCAGCUCUCCCCCAUGAGCCCCUCCUCUCUUUUUUUUUUUCACCCGACAAACAACAAGUGCGUGCUGUUCUGCUCUGUUCUGGCGGCUAUAUUUAAACUCCUCUGUUGACUGGUCCAACCCUCCACACACCCACUUCCAGCAGCUCGAACCCCACACCCCACCCUCCCCUCCCUUACACCCCGACUCAC